UACAGAGGUCUCAAGCGUUGUUCGGAUUCAUUGGGCGUAAAGGGCGCGUAGGCUGCGGGGCAAGUCGGGUGUGAAAUCUCAGAGCUCAACUCUGAAACUGCACUCGAUACUGCUUUGCUCGAGGACUGGAGAGGAGAUUGGAAUUCACGGUGUAGCAGUGAAAUGCGUAGAUAUCGUGAGGAAGACCAGCAGCGAAGGCGGUGGUCUGGGCCGACAUUGACGCUGAGGAGCGAAAGCGUGGGGAGCGAACAGG
rnacentral:rRNA from 1 species